rnacentral:lncRNA from 1 species
UUGUGCUUAGUUAGUCUCUCUUUUCAAUUGUUCCAAUCGGAAAUCUUUAUCACAAAUAAACUAAUUUUAAACCAAUCUAUUUCUUUACAUGUACAGAGAAAGUAGGAGUGCACCAGAUUAUAAGCAGUUGCAUGUCUUCUGGAACCCUAUUUUUUAUAAAAUAAAAUUAUAAAUUGACUCAUAUACAAGUCUAUCAAACAUAUUUUUCAAAUAUGUAGGGUUGAUGCAAAUAUUGUUUUAAAUACUAACCUCUUCAUCAGCAACGAUACACUCAACUUGGUGUUCACCAGUCUUGUCUUUCACGACCCAUGGUUUGUAAAUUAACACUCAGAUAACCUUUUGUCCCAUGAAAUUAAUUCACACACCAAAUCAUAGUAAAACAUCGUCCAGGAAACAAUUUCUUUCUCUGUGUUUUUUUUUUUUCUUUUGUUAUG